rnacentral:rRNA from 1 species
UCAAGCGUGAGGUAAGAGCAUUUGGUGGAUGCCUUGGCACAUACAGGCGAUGAAGGACGUGGCACGCUGCGAUAAGCGUUGGGGAGAUGUGAGCAAUCUUUGAUCCAGCGAUUUCCGAAUGGGGGAACCCAUCCUCACCAUUUACUUUUGUUUUGAAGCGAACCAGGUUUUCUUGGGGAGUGACAAAGUGAGAGUAAAUGGGGAAGGAUAUUACCGAGUUGAAUAAAAUAGACUUGGUGAAGCGAACCCGGCGAACUGAAACAUCUCAGUAACCGGAGGAAAAGACAUCAACCGAGAUUCCGUUAGUAGUGGCGAGCGAACGCGGACCAGGCCAGUGCCUGAUUGUAAAUUAGCAGAACAUUCUGGAAAGUUUGACCAUAGUGGGUGACAGUCCCGUAUGCGAAAAUGAUCAAUCAGGACUCGAGUAGGGCGGAACACGUGAAAUUCUGUCUGAACAUGGGGGGACCACCCUCCAAGCCUAAAUACUCGUAUGUGACCGAUAGCGAACAAGUACCGUGAGGGAAAGGUGAAAAGCACCCCGAUUAGGGGAGUGAAAUAGUACCUGAAACCGAAUGCUUACAAGCAGUGGGAGCUUGUGGGGUGACCGCGUACCUCUUGCAUAAUGGGUCAGUGACUUAAUCUAUCUAGCAAGCUUAAGCCGUUAGGUGUAGGCGCAGCGAAAGCGAGUCUGAAUAGGGCGAAUGAGUUAGAUGGAUUAGACCCGAAACCCGGCGAUCUAGGCAUGACCAGGUUGAAGGUGCGGUAACACGCACUGGAGGACCGAACCAUUUAAUGUUGAAAAAUUAUUGGAUGAGUUGUGUUUAGGGGUGAAAGGCCAAUCAAGCCGGGAAAUAGCUGGUUCUCCGCGAAAACUAUUGAGGUAGUGCCUCGGAUGUUUUCCUAUGGGGGUAGAGCACUGGAUGGGCUAGGGGAACGCGAGUUCUACCAAACCUAACCAAACUCCGAAUACCAUAGAGACAAGUCCGGGAGACAGACGGCGGGUGCUAAGGUCCGUCGUCAAAAGGGAAACAGCCCUAACCUACAGCUAAGGUCCCCAAGUCAUUACUAAGUGGGAAAGCAUGUGGGAAUCCCAAAACAACCAGGAGGUUGGCUUAGAAGCAGCCAUCCUUUAAAGAAAGCGUAACAGCUCACUGGUCUAAAUAAGGGUUCCUGCGGCGAAGAUGUAACGGGGCUAAAGUAAUGCACCGAAGCUUAGGGUUCAGAAUUUAUUCUGAGCGGUAGCGGAGCGUUCCGUAAGCGGAUGAAGCCGAAGGGUAACCGACGGUGGACGUAUCGGAAGUGCGAAUGCUGACAUGAGUAGCGAGUGAGAUGCACUGUCGCCGAAAGCCCAAGGGUUCCUGCUUAAAGCUAAUCUGAGCAGGGUGAGUCGGCCCCUAAGACGAGCCCGAAGGGGGUAGUCGAUGGGAACACGGUUAAUAUUCCGUGACCUGGUGGAAUGUGACGGAUCUCGUGUGUUGUCUGAUCUUAUUGGAUUGAUCAGGCUUCGAAGAGGUUCCAGGAAAUAGCUCCACCAUAUAGACCGUACCCUAAACCGACACAGGUGGGCAGGUAGAGUAUACCAAGGCGCUUGAGAGAAGUAUCCUGAAGGAACUCGGCAAAUUACCUCCGUAACUUCGGGAGAAGGAGGCCCUAUCAGAAGGCAACUUUUGGUAGGGGGCACAAGCUGGGGGGUAGCGACUGUUUAGCAAAAACACAGGACUCUGCUAAGUCGGCUUCAAGACGACGUAUAGGGUCUGACGCCUGCCCGGUGCUCGAAGGUUAAGAGGAGGAGUGCAAGCUCUGAAUUGAAGCCCGAGUAAACGGCGGCCGUAACUAUAACGGUCCUAAGGUAGCGAAAUUCCUUGUCGGGUAAGUUCCGACCUGCACGAAUGGCGUAACGACUU